rnacentral:rRNA from 1 species
CCUACGGGAGGCUGCAGUGGGGAAUAUUGCACAAUGGGCGCAAGCCUGAUGCAGCCAUGCCGCGUGUGUGAAGAAGGCCUUCGGGUUGUAAAGCACUUUCAGCGGGGAGGAAGGCGUUAAGGUUAAUAACCCUGUCGAUUGACGUUACCCGCAGAAGAAGCACCGGCUAACUCCGUGCCAGCAGCCGCGGUAAUACGGAGGGUGCAAGCGUUAAUCGGAAUUACUGGGCGUAAAGCGCACGCAGGCGGUCCGUCAAGUCGGAUGUGAAAUCCCCGGGCUCAACCUGGGAACUGCAUUCGAAACUGGCAGGCUAGAGUCUUGUAGAGGGGGGUAGAAUUCCAGGUGUAGCGGUGAAAUGCGUAGAGAUCUGGAGGAAUACCGGUGGCGAAGGCGGCCCCCUGGACAAAGACUGACGCUCAGGUGCGAAAGCGUGGGGAGCAAACAGGAUUAGAUACCCCAGUAGUC